UCUCCCAAGUCCACCCCAGCACACCUGAAGAACAUCUGUGACUGGAUAUGUGCCUGUGACGAGCUGGGGAGGACACACAAUCACUGCUAUUGGGAGGACCAGAGUCUGUAGUUCCAGAUGGUGCAUGUGGCUUCCAGCAUGCUCAGGGUUAGGGAUCCCAAGAUGAUUCUUUCAAAGAUGCUUUCUGGUCUCCGGGUGAAAUCUUGACUCCAUCAAAGAGAAGCACAAAUGUUGAUAGAAAUGGGAUGCUAUGUUCUGACCUUUCGAAGUGCACAAAUGAUACAGAUUCAUAAGCAGUGACUCUC